rnacentral:rRNA from 1 species
UACGGAGAGUGCAAGCGUUAUCCGGAUUUACUGGGUUUAAAGGGUGUGUAGGCGGGCUUUUAAGUCUGGGGUGAAAUCUCCGAGCUCAACUCGGAAACUGCCUUGGAUACUAUUAGUCUUGAAUUAUGUUGAGGUUGGCGGAAUAUAACAUGUAGCGGUGAAAUGCUUAGAUAUGACAUAGAACACCAAUUGCGAAGGCAGCUCGUUACACGAAUAUUGACACUCAGGCACGAAAGCGUGGGGAUCAAACAGG